AUUGAACGCUGGCGGCAGGCUUAACACAUGCAAGUCGAGCGGAGAUGAGGUGCUUGCACCUUAUCUUAGCGGCGGACGGGUGAGUAAUGCUUAGGAAUCUGCCAUUUAGUGGGGGACAACAUUCCGAAAGGAACGCUAAUACCGCAUACGUCCUACGGGAGAAAGCAGGGGAUCUUCGGACCUUGCGCUAAAUGAUGAGCCUAAGUCGGAUUAGCUAGUUGGUGGGGUAAAGGCCUACCAAGGCGACGAUCUGUAGCGGGUAUGAGAGGAUGAUCCGCCACACUGGGACUGAGACACGGCCCAGACGCCUACGGGAGGCAGCAGUGGGGAAUAUUGGACAAUGGGCGGAAGCCUGAUCCAGCCAUGCCGCGUGUGUGAAGAAGGCCUUUUGGUUGUAAAGCACUUUAAGCGAGGAGGAGGCUACUGAGACUAAUACUCUUGGAUAGUGGACGUUACUCGCAGAAUAAGCACCGGCUAACUCUGUGCCAGCCGCCGCGGUAACAC
rnacentral:rRNA from 1 species